GCCUUCGGGUUGUAAACCUCUUUUAGUAGGGAAGAAGCGAAAGUGACGGUACCUGCAGAAAAAGCACCGGCUAACUACGUGCCAGCAGCCGCGGUAAUACGUAGGGUGCAAGCGUUGUCCGGAAUUAUUGGGCGUAAAGAGCUCGUAGGCGGCUUGUCGCGUCUGCUGUGAAAUCCCGAGGCUCAACCUCGGGCCUGCAGUGGGUACGGGCAGGCUAGAGUGCGGUAGGGGAGAUUGGAAUUCCUGGUGUAGCGGUGGAAUGCGCAGAUAUCAGGAGGAACACCGAUGGCGAAGGCAGAUCUCUGGGCCGCUACUGACGCUGAGGAGCGAAAGCAUGGGGAGCGAACAGGAUUAGAUACCCUGGUAGUCCAUGCCGUAAACGUUGGGAACUAGAUGUAGGGCCUGUUCCACGGGUUCUGUGUCGUAGCUAACGCAUUAAGUUCCCCGCCUGGGGAGUACGGCCGCAAGGCUAAAACUCAAAGGAAUUGACGGGGGCCCGCACAAGCGGCGGAGCAUGCGGAUUAAUUCGAUGCAACGCGAAGAACCUUACCAAGGCUUGACAUAUGCGAGAACACUGUAGAGAUACAGGACUCUUUGGACACUCGUAUACAGGUGGUGCAUGGUUGUCGUCAGCUCGUGUCGUGAGAUGUUCGGUUAAGUCCGGCAACGAGCGCAACCCUCGUCCUAUGUUGCCAGCACGUUAUGGUGGGAACUCAUGGGAUACUGCCGUGGUCAACACGGAGGAAGGUGGGGAUGACGUCAAAUCAUCAUGCCCCUUAUGUCUUGGGCUUCACGCAUGCUACAAUGGCCGGUACAAAGGGCUGCGAUACCGUAAGGUGGAGCGAAUCCCAAAAAGCCGGUCUCAGUUCGGAUUGGGGUCUGCAACUCGACCCCAUGAAGUCGGAGUCGCUAGUAAUCGCAGAUCAGCAACGCUGCGGUGAAUACGUUCCCGGGCCUUGUACACACCGCCCGUCAAGUCAUGAAAGUCGGUAACACCCGAAGCC
rnacentral:rRNA from 1 species